GGCGCAGCCGCCGAGACCCUUGCUAAAGGUGGCAUUGAGACCUACCUCAUCGAACGCAAGCUCGACAACUGCAAACCAUGCGGCGGAGCAAUUCCUCUUUGCAUGGUGGGCGAGUUUGACUUGCCAUUAGACAUCAUAGACCGCAAGGUGACCAAGAUGAAGAUGAUCUCCCCUUCCAACAUCGCCGUGGACAUUGGGCAAACUCUGAAGCCCCACGAGUACAUUGGGAUGGUGAGACGCGAGGUGCUUGAUUCUUACUUGAGAGAGAGAGCGGCGAGUAAUGGGGCCAAUGUCAUCAAUGGUUUGUUCUUGAAAAUGGACAUUCCAAAGGGUGGUAGAGGCAGCGAGACUGCACCUUAUGUCCUCCAUUACACGGAGUAUAAUGGAAAGGUAGGUGGGGCAGGACAGAAGAAGACUCUGGAGGUUGAUGCAGUAAUUGGUGCUGAUGGAGCCAAUUCCCGUGUUGCCAAGUCCAUUGGUGCUGGUGAUUAUGACUACGCCAUUGCUUUUCAGGAGAGAAUCAGAAUCCCGGAUGAUAAAAUGGUGUACUAUGAGAACCUAGCU
rnacentral:misc_RNA from 1 species